GCUCGAGUGGUUGAAGAGGCACGCCUGGAAAGCGUGUAUACGCCAAAAGCGUAUCCGGGGUUCGAAUCCCCGUCUCUCCG
rnacentral:tRNA from 1 species